GUUCCUCAGUUGCAGUGAGAUGUUAGGCACUUGCAGAGACUCAGUCCACUACCCUGGGCAGCUUUUCCAAGAUGUAGGGACUGGCUUGCCAUAAUUCAUAGCUUCUGCUGUCCCUUGCUACAUACCUGCUUCUCAAAUCAGAAAAAGAAAAUCAGUGGAUUAGAGGACCCUUACCACAACUUCUUAUUGACACUUUAUCUGAGUGCAUAUGAGUUAUCACACAGAUCUCCACUAAACACAAAUGAAAGUUCUGAAAUGGGGAAAUAAUGGUUGAUGUACUCAAUUGCUUGCUGGGAUGUGCUUCCCUGAGGCUUGCCAGUGUGCUGACAACCACAGGAACACAUUCAUUCAUUAGCAUAUGGAACGUACGUGUUUUGAAUGACCACCUCUGCUAGACAGUUGUGCCAGGUACCAAGGAUCCCCCAAAAGCAAUAACAACCUGAUCCUGCCUUCAUUGCCACUCACGGCCACUCAUGGGGAACAGAUUUAACGAAAGAGCAAUUGGAAUUCAUGUGCUCUGAUGUGGGAAGUACAGGAUACUAUGGAAGCCCAGAGAAAGGGCACAUAACCCAGAUUUUGAAGAAAUGAGAAAUGCUUCCUGGAAGAUGAGACAACUACCCUAAGACCUGCAAAAUCAAUAGGAGUAUGACCUAUGAAGUGAGAGAAGAAAGAUAAAAAUAAUGGACAUGAGGAAAACUCUACUACUAUUUAGCCAUUUUCUGUCUGUACAUUUUAAAUAAGAAUUAGAAAUUAAGCAAGCAUUUUACAAAUUACUCCAGAAACUGCUCUUCUAAAGGUAAGCUCCACUGAAUUUUUCUAGAAAAAAGGAGGCCUCCUGAAUUCUUACCAAAUGCCUGAUACUCUACCUGCUUGCUCCAGCUGACACAGUCAAGAGAAACCUAAGUCCACGUCUGCAGACCAUGGAGUUCCCUGAACAAAAACCUCUUAAAUUCUUGGAAUCCCAACUUUCAGACUAGCCAAAGAGCAGCCCAGAAAAGGCUGGAGUGCGGUGGCAUGAUCUCUGCUCACUGCAACCUCCACCUCCCCAGUUCAAACAAUUCUUCUGCCUUCUGCCUCAGCCUCCCAAAUAGCUGGAACUACAGCAAGGCCAACUUUUCUACCAGAUAACCCUAACCUCAUCCUGUCAGAAUUGAAUGGACCAAGAAUUGAGCUACUCUAAAAGGCCAGUUUUCUGGAAAUAGUUUGAAGAUACCUACUCAUGGUCAAAUGUUUCACAUUUACCCUCAGAAAUGAGUGCUACUGUUCAGAAACACAGGUGCCCGCUUUGCUUGUGGGAUUUAGGAGGAAAUGCCACACACUGUUAUAGAAAAAAUGGCGUCUCACUCUAUUGCCCAGGCUAGAGUACAAUAGUGCAAUCUUGGCUCACUGCAACCUCCCCCUCCCAGGUCCAAGCCGUUCUCCUGCCUCAGCCUCCCGAGUAGCUAGAACUACAAGCACGUACACCAUACCUGGCUAAUUUUUUGUAUUUUUAGUAGAGACGGGGUUUCUCCACGUUGGCCAGGCUGGUUUCGAACUCCUGACCUCAGGUGAUCCACCCGCCUCAUCCUCCCAAAAUGCAUUAUCUCCUCCCAAAAUGCAUUAUCUAUUUCAUUAAGAAAAAGGAAAAAGCAACCAUGCUAAGCUUCAAAUAACAGCAUGUGAGCACACCUGAUGACGCUAGACCUGCUGGAAUCUCGCAUAACUCAUCCUGAACGGGUUGAGAAUCAAGUCUCUCAGGAUUAGCCCUGGUAAUCUGAAAGUCACCAGUCAUCAAGUAGUGGCAUCUCUACCAUAUGGUGCAAUCAUAGACCUGAACUCAAAUUUCUGUCUGAUAUAUUGGAUGUGAUCCCUCCUUUUACACCCUUUUAACUUCUGUUUGGAGAGACCCGCUGACCUUGUAGCUGACUGUCAUAGCUUUCCCUUGCCAGGCCAGCAAUAAAUUUGGCAUUGUUUUGGACAUUG
rnacentral:lncRNA from 1 species